GAUGAACGCUAGCGGCAGGCCUAAUACAUGCAAGCCGGACGGCAAGUUGAGUAGCAAUACUUGACCUAGAGUGGCGUAAGGGUGCGUAACACGUAUGCAAUCUGCCCACAGCCGGGAGAUAGCCCUCCGAAAGGAGGAUUAAUAUCCCAUAGGAAGAUGAGAUGGCAUCAUUUUAUUUUUAAACUACGGGGCUGUGGAUGAGCAUGCGGUUGAUUAGCUAGUUGGCGGGGUAAAGGCCCACCAAGGCGAUGAUCAAUAGGGGACCUGAGAGGGUGAUCCCCCACACUGGCACUGAGAUACGGGCCAGACUCCUACGGGAGGCAGCAGUAGGGAAUAUUGGACAAUGGGGGGCAACCCUGAUCCAGCAAUGCCGCGUGAGUGAUGAAGGCCUUAGGGUUGUAAAGCUCUUUUGCCAGGGAAGAUGAUGACUGUACCUGGAGAAUAAGCCCCGGGCUAACGUUCGUGCCAGCAGCCGCGGUAAU
rnacentral:rRNA from 1 species